rnacentral:lncRNA from 1 species
UUUUUGUCUUGGUUUACAUAGACCCCACAGGUUGUUGUUGUUCCGAAACAAACGUUUUUCAUGUUGAUGUAACUAUUUGCACCCACCAUACAAGUUUGUGUACCAUGGGUGUAAUUUACUCUUUAUUUUAUUUAUUUUCACAUCCUAAUUAAUAAAACACAUCGAAAGUAUUAAUAUGCAUAACCAUGAUUUCCAAAUUUAAACCAUGCAAACAAGUAAUGUGCAACAAUUAUUGAAC